GAGCAGCAACGCCGCGUGGGGGAUGAAGGCUUUCGGGUUGUAAACCCCUUUCAGCAGGGACGAUUAUGACGGUACCUGCAGAAGAAGGACCGGCCAACUACGUGCCAGCAGCCGCGGUAAUACGUAGGGUGCGAGCGUUGUCCGGAAUUAUUGGGCGUAAAGGGCUCGUAGGCGGUUUGUCGCGUCGGGAGUGAAAACUCGGGGCUUAACUCCGAGCCUGCUUUCGAUACGGGCAGACUAGAGGUAUGCAGGGGAGAACGGAAUUCCUGGUGUGCGGUGAAAUGCGCAGAUAUCAGGAGGAACACCGGUGGCGAAGGCGGGUCCCUGGGCCAUACUGACGCUGAGGAGCGAAAGCGUGGGGAGCGAACGGAUUAGAUACCCGGUAGUCCACGCCGUAAAACGGUUGGGGCGCUGGUGUGGGCUCA
rnacentral:rRNA from 1 species